rnacentral:tRNA from 1 species
GAUUUAUGAUAGUUUAUGUUGGAAGAAUAAUAAUUUGUGAUGUUAUAGGUGAAAUUUUUUCUCUAAAUCC